rnacentral:pre_miRNA from 1 species
AGUGGGAUAGCUGGGUCAAAUGGUGGUUCCAUUCCUAGUUUUCCAAGGAAUCUCCAUACUAUUUUUCAGAUUGGUUGUACCAAUUGCAGUCCCACCAGCAAU